UCGAUCUCCGGGACAUCGGGGUCCUCGAGCAGGGGCGUAGCGGGAGUCGGAGAAGGAGGUGGUAGACCAGGAGAAUGCACACGCGGAACAGUAGGUGCUAGGCCAGGAGACUGCACACGCGGAGCAGUAGGUGCUAGGCCAGGAGACUGCACACGCGGAGCAGUAGGUGCUAGGCCAGGAGACUGCACACGCGGAGCAGUAGGUGCUAGGCCAGGAGACUGCACGCGCGGUUGCACUGGUGGAGUAGACUGCCGGGACACUGCAUGCGUUCUCGUUGCCUGGCUCUGCUGGGGAACGUAGAG
rnacentral:lncRNA from 1 species